AACGCGAAGAACCUUACCUACUCUUGACAUCCAGAGAAUUUGCUAGAGAUAGCUUAGUGCCUUCGGGAACUCUGAGACAGGUGCUGCAUGGCUGUCGUCAGCUCGUGUUGUGAAAUGUUGGGUUAAGUCCCGCAACGAGCGCAACCCUUAUCCUUUGUUGCCAGCACGUAAUGGUGGGAACUCAAAGGAGACUGCCGGUGAUAAACCGGAGGAAGGUGGGGAUGACGUCAAGUCAUCAUGGCCCUUACGAGUAGGGCUACACACGUGCUACAAUGGCAUAUACAAAGAGAAGCGAACUCGCGAGAGCAAGCGGACCUCAUAAAGUAUGUCGUAGUCCGGAUUGGAGUCUGCAACUCGACUCCAUGAAGUCGGAAUCGCUAGUAAU
rnacentral:rRNA from 1 species